rnacentral:rRNA from 1 species
UGGGCGUAAAGCGCGUGUAGGCGGUUUCAUAAGUCAGAUGUGAAAGCCCUGGGCUCAACCUAGGAAGUGCAUUUGAUACUGCGUUACUCGAGUAUGGGAGAGGACAGUGGAAUUCCCAGUGUAGAAGUGAAAUUCGUAGAUAUUGGGAGGAACACCGGUGGCGAAGGCGGCUGCCUGGACCGAUACUGACGCUGAGACGCGAAAGCGUGGGGAGCAAACAGGAUUAGAUACCCUGGUAGUCCACGCCGUAAACGAUGAGUACUAGGUGUUGCGGG